CGUGCUCGACCCUGUGCGUGGCCUCGUCGCACAAUGUUGAACCAACAUCACUGCAUAGGGAGCCCGAGUCCGGCUAGGCGUUCGGCCUAGGCGGCAGGGCACCCACCUGGCUCGUCCAGGUUCGCAAUGCGGCGGGGCUUCAUCGGCAGGGUGGGGCACUU
rnacentral:other from 1 species